GCGGAUGUAGUUUAAUGGUAGAACUUCAGCCUUCCAAGCUGAUCGCGUGGGUUCGAUUCCCAUCAUCCGCUCCA
rnacentral:tRNA from 1 species